CAAGUACUCCCUCCGUCCGAAAAUACUUGUCAUCAAAAUGGAUAGAAAGGGAUGUAUCUAGAACUAAAAUACGUCUAGAUACAUUCCCUUUUAUUCAUUUUGAUGACAAGUAUUUCCGGACGGAGGGAGUAAAUA
rnacentral:pre_miRNA from 1 species